UACGAAGGGUGCAAGCGUUACUCGGAAUUACUGGGCGUAAAGCGUGCGUAGGUGGUUUUUUAAGUCCGUUGUGAAAGCCCUGGGCUCAACCUGGGAAUGGCAGUGGAUACUGGAAAGCUAGAGUGCGGUAGAGGGUAGUGGAAUUCCCGGUGUAGCAGUGAAAUGCGUAGAUAUCGGGAGGAACACCAGUGGCGAAGGCGACUACCUGGCCCAUUCUUGACGCUGAGGCGCGAAAGCUAGGGGAGCGAACGGG
rnacentral:rRNA from 1 species